ensembl:lncRNA
UCUCAGAAGCUAAGCAGAGUAGGGCCUGGUUAGUACUUGGAUGGAAGACCGCCUGGGAAUCCCAGGUGCCGUAAGCUUUUUCAUUUCUAUCUGUAAAAGACACAGAGAAGCCCUUAGAAAGUGACUCCAUUUCAUUGUCAAAACUCCAAAACCUUUGACACAUUUUAAAAGAUUAGGUAGAGGACAUACAGUUGCUUACGGCCAUACCUCUCUGGCUCCGCCUGAUCUCGUCUGAUCUCAGAAGCUAAGCAGAGUAGGGCCUGGUUAGUACUUGGAUGGAAGACCGCCUGGGAAUCCCAGGUGCCGUAAGCUUUUUCAUUUCUCUCUCUGGAAGAAAUCGAGCAGGCAUUAGAAAGUGACUCCUUUUUCAUUAUCAAAACUCCAAAACCUUUGACACAUUUUAAAAGAUUAGGAAGAGGACAUACAGUUGCUUACGGCCAUACCUCUCUGGCUCUGCCUGAUCUCGUCUGAUCUCAGAAGCUAAGCAGAGUAGGGCCUGGUUAGUACUUGGAUGGAAGACCGCCUGGGAAUCCCAGGUGCCGUAAGCUUUUUCAUUUCUAUCUGUAAAAGACACAGAGAAGAACUUAGAAAGUGACUCCAUUUCAUUGUCAAAACUACAAAAACUGUGACACAUUUAAAAGAUUAGGAAGAGGACAUACAGUUGCUUACGGCCAUACCUCUCUGCUCCGCCUGAUCUCGUCUGAUCUCAGAAGCUAAGCAGAGUAGGCCCUGGUUAGUACUUGGAUGGAAGACCGCCUGGGAAUCCCAGGUGCCGUAAGCUUUUUCAUUUCUCUCUCUGGAAGAAAUCGAGAAGGCAUUAGAAAGUGACUUCUAUUUCAUUAUCAAAACUCCAAAACCUUUGACACAUUUUAAAAGAUUAGGAAGAGGACAUACAGUUGCUUACGGCCAUACCUCUCUGGCUCCGCCUGAUCUCGUCUGAUCUCAGAAGCUAAGCAGAGUAGGGCCUGGUUAGUACUUGGAUGGAAGACCGCCUGGGAAUCCCAGGUGCCGUAAGCUUUUUCAUUUCUAUCUGUAAAAGACACAGAGAAGGCCUUAGAAAGUGACUCCAUUUCAUUGUCAAAACUCCAAAACCUUUGACACAUUUUAAAAGAUUAGGAAGAGGACAUACAGUUGCUUACGGCCAUACCUCUCUGGCUCCGCCUGAUCUCGUCUGAUCUCAGAAGCUAAGCAGAGUAGGGCCUGGUUAGUACUUGGAUGGAAGACCGCCUGGGAAUCCCAGGUGCCGUAAGCUUUUUCAUUUCUCUCUCUGGAAGAAAUUGAGAAGGCAUUAGAAAGUGAAUCCUUUUUCAUUAUCAAAACUCCAAAACCUUUGACACAUUUAAAAGAUUAGGAAGAGGACAUACAGUUGCUUACGGCCAUACCUCUCUGGCUCCGCCUGAUCUCGUCUGAUCUCAGAAGCUAAGCAGAGUAGGGCCUGGUUAGUACUGGAUGGAAGACCGCCUGGGAAUCCCAGGUGCCGUAAGCUUUUUCAUUUCUAUCUGUAAAAGACACAGAGAAGAACUUAGAAAGUGACUCCAUUUCAUUGUCAAAACUCCAAAACCUUUGACACAUUUUAAAAGAUUAGGAAGAGGGCAUACAGUUGCUUACGGCCAUACCU